ACGGAAGGCAGCAGUGGGGAAUAUUGGGCAAUGGGGGAAACCCUGACCCAGCAACGCCGCGUGAAGGAAGAAGGCCUUCGGGUUGUAAACUUCUUUUACCAGGGACGAUAAUGACGGUACCUGGAGAAAAAGCAACGGCUAACUACGUGCCAGCAGCCGCGGUAAUACGUAGGUUGCAAGCGUUGUCCGGAUUUACUGGGUGUAAAGGGCGUGUAGGCGGAGCUGCAAGUCAGAUGUGAAAUCCCGGGACUCAACCCCGGAACUGCAUUUGAAACUGUAGCCCUUGAGUAUCGGAGAGGCAAGCGGAAUUCCUAGUGUAGCGGUGAAAUGCGUAGAUAUUAGGAGGAACACCAGUGGCGAAGGCGGCUUGCUGGACGACAACUGACGCUGAGGCGCGAAAGCGUGGGGAGCAAACAGGAUUAGAUACCCUGGUA
rnacentral:rRNA from 1 species